rnacentral:lncRNA from 1 species
GCACAUAACUCAUACUCAGUCUAAUACUAAAUCUAGCUGGACUCUUAGCUCUUCCCUGUAAAGCAGCAAAAAAAGAAACAAUGAUAUGGGAGUGAGACGUAGCACAAAGAAAUGAAGAGGUGAACAAUAAACACAAGCAAAUUGUGGAGACAGACCUCAAUAUCUGAAUAUUCAGCAAGAUGUGGAAAGAGGAGACAAAUAAACUGAAGAUAUCCAGUGAGUUUUAUUUCUUGCCCAGGAGGAGAACUCUGUAAAAGCUGGGGAAAGAAGCCAGGUCUCUCAGCUUCUAGCCUCCUACUCUGAUCAUAAGGUCAGUCUCARUGUUAAAUGUUAUUAAUUUGAAAGUAUUACUACCAAGUGCAAGUCUUAUUUAAAACUUUUAAAAAUUAAAUGAAUGCUUUUUACGCUUGUUUUUUUUCUUUUUAAGUGAGCCAUUUUAAACAAUAGAAUCCA